rnacentral:lncRNA from 1 species
UUAGUUUCUCUAUUAGCAUACAUGAUGUUGUUCCAUAGAUCCAUGACAUGUUCUUGUCUUUCUGAUUUAACAUACUCUUUACAUUUCAUACUAACAUUUUUUGAAAUAUGGAACGAACAUAACAUAUAAGUUAAAUUUGGAAACACAACUUCCAUGGCAUUCCUCAACGCAAGUUUCUGGUCUGCCACCACAACAUUCGGUAGAAAAUUCUCGGAAUAGAAUAACUCUUUGAGCUUCUCCA